rnacentral:piRNA from 1 species
UUGUAGUGAUGCUUUCCUCUGAG